CAAGUACUCCCUCCGUCCGGAAUUACUUGUCAUCAAAAUGGAUGUGUCUAUAACUAAAAUACAUCUAGAUACAUCCAUUUCAAUGACAAGUAUUUUCGGACGGAGGGAGUAUAA
rnacentral:pre_miRNA from 1 species